rnacentral:ncRNA from 1 species
UCCAUCGUGAGGUGGAAUCUGAAGGAAGCUUAAGGCAAAAUCUCGGUCUGAUGAAUAAAAACCAGAUAGGAGGCUAAAUUGGGGCGGAUAAGUUUGCAUUACAAAACGAAGUCCAACACUACCCGAACCCCAUACAGUAAAUCUGGCAGAUAGAUGAGAUGAAGGUUAUCGUU